rfam:Salmo salar isolate Sally breed double haploid chromosome ssa27, whole genome shotgun sequence.
GGCAUGGUUGCCAACUUUUAUGGCGUCAUUUUCAAAAACUGAAGUUCAUGGGUUCGAUCCCAGUCUGUACCU